rnacentral:rRNA from 1 species
UACGGAGGGUGCGAGCGUUAAUCGGAAUUACUGGGCGUAAAGGGUGCGUAGGUUGUUGAUUAAGUUAUCUGUGAAAGCACUGGGCUUAACCUGGUAAUGUCAGAUGAUACUGAUUGACUGGAGUAAGGGAGAGGGUAGUGGAAUUUCCGGUGUAGCGGUGAAAUGCGUAGAGAUCGGAAGGAACACCGGUGGCGAAGGCGACUACCUGGCCUAUUACUGACACUGAGGCACGAAAGCGUGGGGAGCAAACAGG